GGAACUGGAGAGUGGCGCACGGGUGAGUAACGCGUGGGGACCUACCUCUUAGUGGGGGAUAACGGUUGGAAACGACCGCUAAUACCGCAUACGCCCUUCGGGGGAAAGAUUUAUCGCUAAGAGAUGGACCCGCGUUGGAUUAGAUAGUUGGUGAGGUAACGGCUCACCAAGUCAGCGAUCCAUAGCUGGUUUGAGAGGAUGAUCAGCCACACUGGGACUGAGACACGGCCCAGACUCCUACGGGAGGCAGCAGUGGGGAAUAUUGGACAAUGGGGGCAACCCUGAUCCAGCCAUGCCGCGUGAGUGAAGAAGGCCUUCGGGUUGUAAAGCUCUUUCAGAUGCGAAGAUGAUGACGGUAACAUCAGAAGAAGCCCCGGCUAAUUUCGUGCCAGCAGCCGCGGUAAUACGAAAGGGGCUAGCGUUGUUCGGAUU
rnacentral:rRNA from 1 species